GUUGGGGAUUCAUAGGCACUCAGUUUGUUGCCUUGACUCGCUGACCCGGUACAUAGCUGAGACUGAAAGAGUCAUUCAAAAAAGUCUGUUUGUUCAUUUUGGCCCAUGACUGGUAGAGUUCCACCUUUAAAGACGGCAUAGACAAUAGAGCAAUCAACAUAUGAACCAGUCUAUUAACCAGUUAACUAAUCCCCAACAACCAGCUGCAAGUAAUCAGCAUAUUGUUCUGCUAAUAAGGAGGAUGUACGGCUCAGUCUGUCAAAGAAUACUCAGUGUGGCCGAGAUUCUCUGAAGGCUGAACCAAAAAGAUUAGGU